AUCAACUUUCGAUGGUAGGAUAGAGGCCUACCAUGGUGGUAACGGGUAACGGGGUGUUAGGGCACGACACCGGAGAGGGAGCCUGAGAAACGGCUACCACAUCCAAGGAUGGCAGCAGGCGCGCAAAUUACCCAAUCCCGACACGGGGAGGUAGUGACAAUAAAUAACAAUACGGGGUUCUUUCGGAUUUCGUAAUUGGAAUGAGUACAAUUUAAAUCUCUUAACGAGGAACAAUUGGAGGGCAAGUCUGGUGCCAGCAGCCGCGGUAAUUCCAGCUCCAAUAGCGUAUAUUAAAGUUGCUGCAGUUAAAAAGCUCGUAGUUGAAUUUCGGGACCAAUAUGUCGGUCGUGCCUCGGUACGUACUGGCAUCGUUGGUUUCUCCCUUCUGACGAACCAUGAUGUCAUUCAUUUGGUGUCGUGGGGAAUCAGGACUGUUACUUUGAAAAAAUUAGAGUGUUUAAAGCAGGCUCACGCUUGAAUACAUUAGCAUGGAAUAAUGAAAUAGGACGUUUGAUUCUAUUUUGUUGGUUUCUAGGAUCGACGUAAUGAUUAAUAGGGAUAGUUGGGGGCAUUAGUAUUCAAUUGUCAGAGGUGAAAUUCUUGGAUUUAUUGAAGACUAACUACUGCGAAAGCAUUUGCCAAGGAUGUUUUCAUUAAUCAAGAACGAAAGUUAGGGGAUCGAAGACGAUCAGAUACCGUCGUAGUCUUAACCAUAAACUAUGCCGGCUAGGGAUUGGACGAUGUUAAUUUUUUAAUGACUCGUUCAGCACCUUAUGGGAAACCAAAGUGUUUGGGUUC
rnacentral:rRNA from 1 species